AGAGUUUGAUCCUGGCUCAGGACGAACGCUGGCGGCAUGCCUAAUACAUGCAAGUCGAGCGAAUCAAUAGGAGCUUGCUCCUUGAGAUUAGCGGCGGACGGGUGAGUAACACGUGGGCAACCUGCCCUGCAGAUGGGGAUAACUCCGGGAAACCGGGGCUAAUACCGAAUAAUCAAUUCCUUCGCAUGAAGGAAUUCUGAAAGACGGUUUCGGCUGUCACUGCAGGAUGGGCCCGCGGCGCAUUAGCUAGUUGGUGGGGUAAUGGCCUACCAAGGCAACGAUGCGUAGCCGACCUGAGAGGGUGAUCGGCCACACUGGGACUGAGACACGGCCCAGACUCCUACGGGAGGCAGCAGUAGGGAAUCUUCCACAAUGGACGAAAGUCUGAUGGAGCAAUGCCGCGUGAGUGAAGAAGGUUUUCGGAUCGUAAAGCUCUGUUGCGAGGGAAGAACACGUACGGGAGUAACUGCCCGUACCUUGACGGUACCUCGUCAGAAAGCCACGGCUAACUACGUGCCAGCAGCCGCGGUAAUACGUAGGUGGCAAGCGUUGUCCGGAAUUAUUGGGCGUAAAGCGCGCGCAGGCGGUCCUUUAAGUCUGAUGUGAAAGCCCACGGCUCAACCGUGGAGGGUCAUUGGAAACUGGGGGACUUGAGUACAGAAGAGGAAGGCGGAAUUCCACGUGUAGCGGUGAAAUGCGUAGAGAUGUGGAGGAACACCAGUGGCGAAGGCGGCUUUCUGGUCUGUAACUGACGCUGAGGCGCGAAAGCGUGGGGAGCAAACAGGAUUAGGAUACCCUGGGUAGUCCACGCCGUAAACGAUGAGUGCUAAGUGUUUAGGGGGUUUCCGCCCCU
rnacentral:rRNA from 1 species